CAAGCUCCCUUCGGGGAGUGGCGGAUGGCGGACGGGUGAGUAACGCGUAAGGAACUUGCCUUUUGGACUGGGACAACUGUUGGAAACGACAGCUAAUACCGGAUAUUAUGAGAUCUUCGCAUGGAGAACCUAUGAAAGCUAUAUGCGCCAAAAGAGAGCCUUGCGUUCCAUUAGCUAGUUGGUGGGGUAACGGCCCACCAAGGCGACGAUGGAUAGCCGGCCUGAGAGGGUGAACGGCCACAAGGGGACUGAGACACGGCCCUUACUCCUACGGGAGGCAGCAGUGGGGAAUAUUGGACAAUGGGCCACAAGCCUGAUCCAGCAAUUCUGUGUGCACGAUGACGGUCUUCGGAUUGUAAAGUGCUUUCAGUUGGGAAGAAGCAAGUGACGGUACCAACAGAAGAAGCGACGGCUAAAUACGUGCCAGCAGCCGCGGUAAUACGUAUGUCGCAAGCGUUAUCCGGAUUUAUUGGGCGUAAAGCGCGUCUAGGCGGGAAAGAAAGUCUGAUGUGAAAAUGCGGGGCUCAACUCCGUAUUGCGUUGGAAACUACUUUUCUAGAGUAUCAGAGAGGUGGGCGGAACUACAAGUG
rnacentral:rRNA from 1 species